rnacentral:sRNA from 1 species
GCUGGGUGCAGUGACACACACCUGUAAUCCCAGCAACUCAGGGAGCUGAGGCAGGGGGAUUGCAAGUUCAAAGCCAGCUUCAGCAACUUAGGCCCUAAGCAACUUAGCAAGACCCUGUCUCAA